GUUUGUUUUGGUUGAGAGAUGAAUGUGUUUUAGAGACGCCUUGGUGGGGAAGUAAGUGUAUUCACAUUUAUUAGAAAAGAAUGAACUACAUAUGUAUGUUUAUUGUGUGCCAUGGGAAGAUACAAUUCUGUAAGUAUACAAAGAGGUGAAGUCUGUUUAAAUUUUAUCCUGGGAUUGCAUUUGAAAGGCAGGAGACUUUGUGGUGUUUGAAGUAAUUCUUUGACAAACUCUAAAGCUUUGCAGCAACUACUCAGCCCUGAAGUUUACAAAGACUUACUCUGAACAUAUUUUGAAGGUUUCUCCUGAUGCUCUCCACCAGAGAAAUGAAAGCAAAGCCAGCAAUCCACAAAAUGAACAACUCCUGUUCUACUGUCGCGAACCGGCGACGCAGAGCACUGUCCCGCAGUGCCUCAAACCUGAAGGAGCAGCGGGGUGGAGAUGGGGCAGAGAGAAAGGAAGGACGCCAAGACAAGAGUCUGAUCAAGGCGACGUUUAUUGCAGGCAGGCAUCAGCCUUUUAAAGGAAAAGACCGAACUAUUAUGGGCUAGGAUUACCAUAGUAACCUCAAUACCUGCUCCUAUAGAUAACAUCAGAUCUUUAACAUAACAAAAAUGGAGUUAACAACACCUGACUCCUACAGAUCUUUGGCUGUCUGGGUUUCUCCCGUGCAGGGCAAAACAAGUUUAACACGUGCAGUCCUUAAAAAGGAAUAAAUGUUGUCUUUCAAAAAGCCAGUGGGCUAUGGCUGGCUUCCCACAUUCUACUCUGUGAUUCUUUGACUAUUUUGGAUACUUCAGAAAAGUAGAAUUAUGUGAU
rnacentral:lncRNA from 1 species